GACGAACGCUGGCGGUGUGCUUAACACAUGCAAGUCGAACGGUAAGACCCUUUCGGGGGUACACGGGUGGCGGACGGGUGCGUGACACGUACGUAAGCUUAACUCAUCUCUGGGAUAACGGUCGGAACCGGUUGCUAAUGCUAGUAAUGAACAAGCAGGUCAUCUUGUGGGUUGGAAAGAUUUUUUGGUUGUGGAUGGACUGGCGACCUAUCAGCUUGUUGGUUAGGUAGUGGCUAACCAAGACUUCGUAGGGUAGCCGGCCUGAGAGGGCGACCGGCCACAUUGGGACUGAGGUACGGCCCAAAUUCCUACGGGAGGCAGCAGGGGGGAAUAUUGAACAAGGGACGGAAGGCGGAUGCAGAAACGCCGCGUGCCGGAUGACGGCCUUCGGGGUGAAAACCGCAUGCAAUUGUGACGAAGCUUUUUGUGACGGUAGCAGUAGAAGAAGCACCGGCUAACUACGUG
rnacentral:rRNA from 1 species